rnacentral:rRNA from 1 species
ACUCAAAUGAAUUGACGGGGGCCCGCACAAGCAGCGGAGCGUGUGGUUUAAUUCGAUGUUACACGAAGAACCUUACCAGGGUUUGACAUGCUGGUAGUAGGGAACCGAAAGGGGACCGAUCCUUCGGGAAGCCAGCACAGGUGCUGCAUGGCUGUCGUCAGCUCGUGUCGUGAGAUGUUCGGUUAAGUCCGCUAACGAGCGCAACCCUCACUGGGUGUUACAUGUGUCACCCGGGACUGCCGGUAUGAAGCCGGAGGAAGGUGGGGAUGACGUCAAGUCAGCAUGGCCUUUAUAUCCUGGGCUACACACACGCUACAAUGGCCGGCACAAUAGGUUGCGAAACCGCGAGGUGGAGCCAAUCCCGAAAGCCGGUCUCAGUUCAGAUUGCAGGCUGCAACCCGCCUGCAUGAAGACGGAGUUGCUAGUAACCGCAGGUCAGCUAUACUGCGGUGAAUACGUUCCCGGGCCUUGUACACACCGCCCGU